GAUGAACGCUGGCGGCGUGCCUAAUACAUGCAAGUCGAACGAGGUGCUUUUGUAGCAAUACGAGAGUAUCCUAGUGGCGAACGGGUGAGUAACGCGUGGAUGACCUGCCCCAAAGUGUGGGAUAACAGUCCGAAAGGAUUGCUAAUACCUCAUGUGGUUAUCGGUUUUAGAAAGCGAUAACUAAAGCAGCAAUGCGCUUUGGGAGGGAUCUGCGUCCCAUCAGCUAGUUGGUGAGGUAACGGCUCACCAAGGCGACGACGGGUAGGGGACCUGAGAGGGUGGCCCCCCACAAUGGAACUGAAACACGGUCCAUACACCUACGGGUGGCAGCAGUAGGGAAUAUUGCUCAAUGGGCGAAAGCCUGAAGCAGCAACGCCGCGUGUGCGAUGAAGGCCUUGGUCGUAAAGCACUUUCUAAGAGAUGAGAAAGGACAGUAUCUUAGGAAUAAGUCUCGGCUAACUACGUGCCAGCAGCCG
rnacentral:rRNA from 1 species